rnacentral:rRNA from 1 species
UACAGAGGGUGCGAGCGUUAAUCGGAAUACUGGGCGUAAAGCGUGCGCAGGCGGUGAUGUAAGACAGAUGUGAAAUCCCCGGGCUCAACCUGGGACCUGCAUUUGUGACUGCAUCGCUAGAGUACGGCAGAGGGGGAUGGAAUUCCGCGUGUAGCAGUGAAAUGCGUAGAUAUGCGGAGGAACACCGAUGGCGAAGGCAAUCCCCUGGGCCUGUACUGACGCCUCAUGCACGAAAGCGUGGGGAGCAAACAGGA